CGGCCCCCGCACGCCGACAGGAGGAGGAGAAAGGCAGCGGUGGCGGCGAAGGUGGCGGCGCCCGCAGAGCUGGGCGAGCUCUUGCUGCAGCCGCGGAGGGGCGGCUCGGCGAGGGGCGGAGCUCGGGCGCCGGCGCCGGGGGAGGGGCCUGCGGGGCUCGCGCUCCCCCUCCCGCGGCCGCUCAGCAAGGAAGGCGGGUGAGGGGCGGGGAGAGCCAGGGGGAGCCUCCUUCGCCCCGCCCCGCCCCGCUUCGGACCGUAUCACGACUCAAAGGGGGGAUCAACUCUUAGCCUCCUUAGUCCUCCAGCGUUUUCGCUCCGCCCUGUGGAGUUGGUUGACCCGGUUCCUCCUCCAGGCCACUCGGACUCUCUCACAUCUUGCUCAGAAAGGAAAGACUGCUCUGGCUGCUGCAUUCUCACGAAUCCCCUCCCGCUACCCCUGGCUUUUGAUCGCAGUGGAGCCGCCCGUCGUCCGGAAAGAGCUGUUGGGUCUGAGCCGGCAGGCGAAGGCGAAAGGGUCUGGGACUACAAGGUUUAGCUCCCAGCCAGAGCAGGAAAGGAACGACUGACUGUUCGCCAUCUGGGUGUAAUUCUAACCUCUCUGCACGCCCAGCCCGACUCGUGGCCUGAGCCGCACUUGUCCUCCUGCCUCGCCCACUAGCAACAGGCUGCCAGGUCGGGAGGCCCCUGGUGCCCAUGGUGCUCUUGUCCAUGGGGCUUGGGUGCAUCUGGGCCCCGCCUGCAAGUGGGCCCGGUGCAUCUCCCUAGUUCAGGCUCUGCAGCCUGACAAGGCACUGAAAUAGCAAUUAAGCCAACUAAGUAUUGGCCCAGGUGGUUCACAAAAGACUUUUUUUUUUUCUUUUAGUUAAAUCUGCAUAAAGUUGGAUGCAGUCGUUUUAUCUGCAAAGGGGAGAGGAGUCUUUGUAUAAAAUCCAUAAAUAUGUUAAAUUUUAAUUUGCCGAUGUCCUUCAGACUAUCAUAGCCUCAUUACCUUUUAUUUUGUAUACCGAGAUCUAUGCUAAAAAGUUGUCAAAACAAAUACUUCACCUUCAAGUUAAGAUGUAAGGUUUUGUGCUGUUUCUGGCGAGCUGCUGAACUGGCAGGAAAGGAAUAAACCAGAAACAAUAAAUCAGAAGCAAUUUGCUUCUUCCCUCAUUUCAUGCUCUUCCUCCAGCAACCAGCGAAAGAGAUCCUCACAUAGAGGCCUUUUAUUUGAGAUCUUUUCACAUCCUGAAGGGAGAGAGCUGGAGAGGUUUGACCUGAGAGAGAAGUGAUUAUUUCCAAGCCUCAGGAAAAAAUGAAAUAAAAUCUGCUAAUAGCGUCCUAUCUCCAUUUGUGGUAUUUCUUCUGCUUCCUGCAGGUAGCACUUGCUAAUCAGAGCCCUGCCCUACAUUAAUACUCAGGCAGUCAAUGCAUAUUUAUGAAGAGCCCACUCUAGUUGGCUCUGAUUCAGAGGCUGGAAUUAGAACAAAGAAAAUGUAUUCUCAGUGUUCAUGGAACAUCUCAGGGUAAAGCAGGACUCAACAAUAAAUGAAUCUAUCUGUUUCAGU
rnacentral:lncRNA from 1 species